rnacentral:rRNA from 1 species
CCUACGGGUGGCGGCAGUGGGGAAUAUUGGACAAUGGGGGCAACCCUGAUCCAGCCAUGCCGCGUGUGUGAAGAAGGCCCUCGGGUUGUAAAGCACUUUCAGUGAGGAAGAACGCCUGGUGGUUAAUACCCAUCAGGAAAGACAUCACUCACAGAAGAAGCACCGGCUAACUCCGUGCCAGCAGCCGCGGUAAUACGGAGGGUGCGAGCGUUAAUCGGAAUUACUGGGCGUAAAGCGCGCGUAGGUGGCUUGAUAAGCCGGUUGUGAAAGCCCCGGGCUCAACCUGGGAACGGCAUCCGGAACUGUCAAGCUAGAGUGCAGGAGAGGAAGGUAGAAUUCCCGGUGUAGCGGUGAAAUGCGUAGAGAUCGGGAGGAAUACCAGUGGCGAAGGCGGCCUUCUGGACUGACACUGACACUGAGGUGCGAAAGCGUGGGUAGCAAACAGGAUUAGAUACCCCGGUAGUC